UCUCCGGUUUUACAAAAGUUUUAUUGAAUCAUAAUAAAAGCAAUGACCGACGUUUCAGUCCCAACUCGGGACUUUCCUCAGGGUCCAACAAAACAGAAUAUUCUGGAUUCAGUUAUUCUGUUUUGUUGGACCCUGAGGAAAGUCCCGAGUUGGGACUGAAACGUCGGUCAUUGCUUUUAUUAUGAUUCAAUAAAACUUUUGUAAAACCGGAGAG